GAAAGACGAAAGAAAUGGAUAAUUUCAAUGAAAAGAGUGCAGGCAGACAGUCCCAGUCGACUGUAGGAGCCGUCAUACCACGACAGAAUUUGCAGUCUACACUUCAUCUCUGGAAAACCAGCAAAUGAAAUGUACAACUCGCAUCCGGAUUGGGCACCAUCACUACACUUGGGCCACACUGAGAUGAAGGCCACAGAGACUGCACGCUAUGAGAGACAGGAAAACAGAAAACGGCAAAGGACUGACAGUACACCUGCGAUGGAUGAGACAGCUAUUGAUGACCUUGUUCCACCAGUGGAGACACCAGCACCAGCAGAGGAUGGAGCUGACCAGACACUGCUGACAGAACGUGACUUCUGUCAGCGCCGGCGUGCUGAAAUCAACCGGCUGCUGGAGUAGAACAGGACCCUGAAAUGUGAGCUUG